GUGGCUUCUGCCACAACUGCUCAGCUUCGCCCCGAUGCCUUGAAAGUAGCGGUGGCCCAUAUGUAAAUGAAAUCAAGCUUUACUCCCGAAAACCAGCAGCAGGGCUGGAUGGGGCCUUUGGGUCACAGGGUGCUGGCUCCUGUGCCAGUUGAUUGCUCUCCCGACCUAGGACAGACAGAAGGUCCCCCGUAGCAGUCCACGCGCUCUGACUGGUUCUUCCACUUGCCUCUGCUUCCGAAUACCCCAAGGAGCCUACGGAGAACACGGAUGCUUGGGACCCAGCCCAGACUUCCAAAUCAGAAUGUGCAGGGAUGGCCUGGGGUCUGGGCCCUAGGUGAUUCCGACCUGGGACUGUUGUGACUUGGUCCAAGAUGCAGUCAACGAGACAAGACCCUCCAACAUGAAGUGGCCCAAGGAAGCAACAGAUCUGUUCCUCUGCUGGCUCGCCUCUCAGGACAAUGGCACCCACACCCACCCUGUUGCCCAGAAACUGAAUCAUUCUGGUCCUCUUACUUGCUGGCCCAUUGACUUAAGGUCCGGGAUUUGACUGAGGAUCCGCACCAUUGUGCCCAAACCUGGCAAUGGCUCCAGAAGGAACAAACUCUUGGGACCCAUUUUACAGGGAGGAAACUGAGACCGAGUGGGGCAAAGUGAUUCUCCCAAGAUGAACGUUUGUGUAUGUCUGGCCUAGGAUCCUGAGAUUCACGGAGAAUUCUUUGGGCCUGCGUCCUCAUUGUCCACCCUUGGCAGUCUCAGUGUCAUACCUGAGCAGGGGCUGUGUACCAAAAGCACUGGCUGUGGUACAGACUAACUGAUUCUCGAGUUCCUGUGGGAAAAUCAGCAAGUGUU